rnacentral:rRNA from 1 species
CCUACGGGUGGCAGCAGUGAGGAAUAUUGGUCAAUGGCCGAGAGGCUGAACCAGCCAAGUCGCGUGAGGGAAGACGGCCCUACGGGUUGUAAACCUCUUUUGUCGGGGAGCAAAGCGAGUCACGUGUGACUCCUUGCGAGUACCCGAAGAAAAAGCAUCGGCUAACUCCGUGCCAGCCGCCGCGGUACGACGGGGGAUGCGAGCGUUAUCCGGAUUUAUUGGGUUUAAAGGGUGCGCAGGCGGAGGUGCAAGUCAGCGGUCAAGUUGCGGGGCUCAACCCCGUACUGCCGUUGAAACUGCAUCCCUUGAGUGCGCGAGAGGUGUGCGGAAUGCGUGGUGUAGCGGUGAAAUGCAUAGAUAUCACGCAGAACUCCGAUUGCGAAGGCAGCAUACCGGCGCGCAACUGACGCUCAUGCACGAAAGCGUGGGUAGCGAACAGGAUUAGAUACCCCAGUAGUC